CCACAGUCUGCCUUUAGUGCAACCAAAGCAGGUGAUUGAGCCCCAGGGGCUGAUCCUAAGAACAUCUGGGCAGCUUGCCAUCCUGUUGCUCUAAAAUGAAAAUCAUGUGAAAGGUUUGAAAGGCUUCCGUUUAUGGUAAUUUAGUCGUUAACCUGCAUGGGGACACAGGCUGUGACGCAGGUGACGCCUUUGGCCCGCUCUGUCCCUGAUUUCCCAGGCAGAGGGCCCAGGAGGCCAGGCCAGAACACUCGACUCACCCAGAAGGAUCUUUCCUUGACCACUUCUGGCCCUCACAACUACCCCCGGGAGCUGGAGCAGGAAAGAGGACAGGAGAGCAGGCAGCUGCUGUGUGGCCAGGGAAUUAUGUUGAGUUUUGGCAAGAGACCAGGGUGACUGGCAGACCUCUCAGAAGAGUGCUGAAUUCGGCUCCUCCCAAACACCUCAGUGCCCAUUUGUCUUUACUGCCCACUGGCAAGGAACUUGUCCUGUGGAUAUUCUAGAAGCAAAUCCACUUUCUCCCCUGCCAACCAGGAAAACCGACUUGGACUUAGAUGCCAUCCCAAAGACUGGCCUGGUAUGAUGUGCACUGGGAGGGAAGAAGGGGUAGUGGUGAUGGAAAAAAAGAAUCAGAGAAAAUCCCAAAGUGGAUUUAAAUCUACACCAUUCUUGUUUUCACUUUGCUGGGUUUCAUCAUUCUAGAACUACUGAGCGCUUCUUGGUGAUAACACAACCCCCUUUGUUGGGAGCUGCAGGUCCCCACUAAACCAAAAGCAAGGAUUCUUACGUACUCUAUGGAGGAAAUUAAGAGAAGCAGCAGCUCAGGGGUACUGCCGCCUGCCCUGCAAGAAGUGCAAGGACCCGAGUUCGAUCCCCGGUACCAAAGAAAAAAAAAAAAAAAAAAGGAGAAGCACGGGUGGGGGUGGGGAGACUGCCACAGGGUGCCAGGGAGAGAGUAAGAGGUCUUCAAGACUGUCGGUAGGAAAGGCUAGGCAAGGGAGCACGUGUGUGAGGGAGAAGAGGGGAUGAACCACAGCAUUCCAGAGGACAUGAAGCACAGCUGAGCUAAGAGGAAGAGGAUGCGUUGGUUUGGAUUUAAUAGCAGCAUCUGUGGUAAGGGUGGUAUUCCAGGUAUGGUUUACUCGUCGUCAUGAGCAGCGGCAGUCGUGGUCUGCCCACAAGAAAAGGAAUGUGGAGAGAGGAGGCCAAAGGGCAGAGGUGCUGUGAGGUGGAAAGAAGAAAAUGGACCAGGGAAGAAAUCUUUGCAGCCUUUGUGGGAAGAAGCAGUGAUAUUUGUUCCGGUUUCCUUUUUAUCUUUUUCAGAACCCAGAAACUAAAUAAAUGAACUGAAAUUUUAAAAUCUUGCCAUGUUGGCUUGGAUUAGUUUUGUUAGUUCCAAAUCUUAAGUCUUCCCCCCCCCCA
rnacentral:lncRNA from 1 species